rnacentral:rRNA from 1 species
AGCGGCGAACGGGUGAGUAACACGUGGGUGAUCUGCCCUGCACUUCGGGAUAAGCCUGGGAAACUGGGUCUAAUACCGGAUAUGACCUCCUAUCGCAUGGUGGGUGGUGGAAAGAUUUAUCGGUGCAGGAUGGGCCCGCGGCCUAUCAGCUUGUUGGUGGGGUAAUGGCCUACCAAGGCGACGACGGGUAGCCGACCUGAGAGGGUGACCGGCCACACUGGGACUGAGACACGGCCCAGACUCCUACGGGAGGCAGCAGUGGGGAAUAUUGCACAAUGGGCGAAAGCCUGAUGCAGCGACGCCGCGUGAGGGAUGACGGCCUUCGGGUUGUAAACCUCUUUCAGCAGGGACGAAGCGCAAGUGACGGUACCUGCAGAAGAAGCACCGGCUAACUACGUGCCAGCAGCCGCGGUAAUACGUAGGGUGCAAGCGUUGUCCGGAAUUACUGGGCGUAAAGAGUUCGUAGGCGGUUUGUCGCGUCGUUUGUGAAAACCAGCAGCUCAACUGCUGGCUUGCAGGCGAUACGGGCAGACUUGAGUACUGCAGGGGAGACUGGAAUUCCUGGUGUAGCGGUGAAAUGCGCAGAUAUCAGGAGGAACACCGGUGGCGAAGGCGGGUCUCUGGGCAGUAACUGACGCUGAGGAACGAAAGCGUGGGUAGCGAACAGGAUUAGAUACCCUGGUAGUCCACGCCGUAAACGGUGGGCGCUAGG